rnacentral:lncRNA from 1 species
CUGGGUGGAAAGAGAGGCAGCGGCUGAGGCAGGGAGAGGCCAAGAGUGCGCGCUGGCUCCAAGGGCCAGGACACCUUGGCGGCUGCCAGGUAGGUCACUGCGCUGGUUGGGGCGCUGAGCACGGGACCGGCCGGCUUCAGCCACGUCCAGGCCCCGGCUGGCCACCAGGUGAGCGCUCCCGAGCGCUCCCAACGCGUCGCGGGCGGCCGUGCGUCCACCAGGCCAAGUACAGGUCAUGGAGCGGCGCCCGGGGGGCGGCACGGACCCUAGGGGAAGCAAAGGAGGCGGUGGCGGUCCCCAGCCCGAGGAUGCCAGCGCCAGACAGUUCCUGGCGCGGCUGAAAGCUCGCCCCUGGCGGCCUGAGCUGCGGCCGACGUGGCGGCGCUGGUACGCAGGGCCGGCGCCACCUUGCGCCUGCGCCCCAAGGAGGCCCUUAGAAUACCAGAAGGACAAUGACAUCAUGGAUUUGUCCCAAGAUGCCCUGCCUCCUAGGAAGAGUUCCUGGCAUGUCAAGUACAGUCGGUUUUAAAAGCCUUGCGUUGUACUUUCCUGGUCGUGCAGUGGCUAAUGUUCAAGGCUCCCAAUGUAGGGGCCAGGUUCAGUUACCUUGAAAUUGGAUCCUAAGUAACUAAGACCUUGCACAGCCAAAUAAAUAAGUAUUAAAAAAUACACGUGUAAUUUUGGGAAGCUUGAACCAUCCAUCUUGCCAAGAUUUCCUUCAUGAAUCUUGGGUUCUUGGGUUGGGAGAGAGGGUGGAAGAGAAGGAUGGGAGCUGCAGGAGAGCAUUGAACAGGGCCAUGCUGAGAAUCCAGCACAAGCCUUGAGUCAAUAUUGGAUGUCUCUCCAUUUAUUUAGGUCUUCUUUAAUUUCUUUCAACAAUGUUUUGCAUUUCCUAGAGUACAAUUUUAUGCUUCUUUGUUAAUUUUGUUUGAAAGUAUUUUUAUUAUUUUCAGGCUGUUGUGAAUGGAGUUUUUUUUUUAUUUCAUUCUUGUCUAUAGAAAUACAAUUGAUUUUUGUAGUUUAAUUUUCUAUCCUGU